GGUACAGUUUGAGGAUGGGCAAGCUGAUAUUAAGUGACUCAUUCUAAGGGGACUUUUGUUUCAGCCCUGUGUAAAGAGUCAAUCAAAUAUAAAUUAUCUCCUUUUCUCCAAAAAUUAUAAAACACAUGUUGUAUUAAAUGUCGUGAGACAAAGAAGCACGCUCGUGCAGUCCAUCAGCCUAGAAGUGUCUGCGCAGGUGCAUCACUCUCUUACCUGACAGCAGCAUCCCGGACCCGGACCCGGACUCGCCUCCAAACUCCCCCGGUGCGUCGUCAGAAGCCUGUCCUCCUCCUGAAGCUGCAUCACGUCACUGAGCAGAGGCCCCGCCCCUCUCUUCUAAUCUGGACCAAUUAAAAUCUUGCAGGGCCUCCGCCCAUUCUGUUU